rnacentral:rRNA from 1 species
AUUGAACGCUGGCGGCAUGCUUUACACAUGCAAGUCGAACGGUAACGGGGAGCUUGCUCCGCUGACGAGUGGCGAACGGGUGAGUAAUGCGUCGGAACGUGCCGAGUAGUGGGGGAUAACGCAUCGAAAGGUGUGCUAAUACCGCAUACGUACUGAGGUAGAAAGUGGGGGACCUUCGGGCCUCACGCUAUUCGAGCGGCCGACGUCUGAUUAGCUAGUUGGUGAGGUAAAGGCUCACCAAGGCGACGAUCAGUAGCGGGUCUGAGAGGAUGAUCCGCCACACUGGGACUGAGACACGGCCCAGACUCCUACGGGAGGCAGCAGUGGGGAAUUUUGGACAAUGGGCGCAAGCCUGAUCCAGCCAUGCCGCGUGUCUGAAGAAGGCCUUCGGGUUGUAAAGGACUUUUGUCCGGGAGCAAAUGCCCGGUGUUAAUAGCACUGGGAGCUGAGAGUACCGGAAGAAUAAGCACCGGCUAACUACGUGCCAGCCGCCGCGGUAAUAC